AUGGCUUCCGAUCAUUGCCAAGCAGAAGCUAAUGAGAUUAUGGAGUGUAAUUCUUCAGAUGCAGAAAUGUCACAUUUUGCUGAGGGUUCCGAGAGUACAAUACAAGCCAAAAUCAAGACUUUGGAUUCUCAAACAUACAAUUUGCAUGUGAAUAAAUAUGCCAGUUUGCUAUGUAGCCAGCUCUUACUGAAUCGAUCUAUGUCAGCUCAUGCUCUCAAAUUGGUCAAGAGGUGCAGGAGGUACAAUGUAAGCAAGCAGGGCGGUCGCGAUCAUGCUGCCCGUCGGCCUUACCACUGGAGAUUCAGGCGAGAACCGGCGCCCCCACCAUGCCUGUUGCCUGUUGGUGACGCUCACGCAGGAAUCCAGAGGCAGCACCUUGGUCUUCUCCAUGUGAACACCACCUCUCCGACGAUGCAGCCGCCAUCCGAGGGUGGCGGGACCGAUGCCACCGUCCAUGCCAUGUUCUGGCUGAUCCCCCAAGGCUCCUCACCUACGUCCAAAGGGCAGCACACAACCAAUGGUACUGCUGCCAUGACGACACCCACCUCUGUGUUGAUUGAGCUUUUCGACCUGCCCGGAAUGGACAAGGUCAUUCGGGCAUCUGAUUUUGAUGUGCCAUUUGCUCUGUUUGAUAAGAAGUCAAGUGUAGCAACAUGA
rnacentral:rRNA from 1 species